rnacentral:lncRNA from 1 species
CUCCUACGCGAAACCUAGACGAUCUCGUCUUCCCUCCACCCAUUGUCACCGGAGUGUCGCUUGUACGCGAAAUCUAGAUGGUCUCAUUGUUGAUUAGGAUGACAGAUCUUAAGGAUGCACGUUCUUUCCAACAGUUCUACCGUUUUGAAGUAUCUUGAAGGCCAAAACAACCAUUAACAUUGGUUUUGAAGUUUUCCACCCUUAGUUUAUCUGCACCCACUUCGGAAGCAUUGUUAUAACUGAAAACCAUCAUUGGAGACAAAAAAAGACAGUUGGUAAGUUUUCAUUGUUCAUUUUGGUUUUCCUUUAUG